rnacentral:rRNA from 1 species
CGAGCGCAACCCUUGCCUUUAGUUGCCAGCAGUUCGGCUGGGCACUCUAAAGGGACUGCCGGUGUUAAACCGGAGGAAGGUGGGGAGUGACGUCAAGUCCUCAUGGCCUUUAUGACCAGGGCUACACACGUACUACAAUGGCCGAUACAAAGGGCAGCGACACUGCGAGGUGAAGCCAAUCCCGUAAAAUCGGUCUCAGUCCGGAUUGGAGUCUGCAACUCGACUCCAUGAAGUUGGAAUCGCUAGUAAUCGUGGAUCAGCAUGCCACGGUGAAUACGUUCCCGGGCCUU